UCAAAAAAAAAAAAAAAAGGCAAUACAAAUUCACUUGGGAUUUAUCUGGUAUGAAGACUGACCGAUCAACUGGGUUUAAUUCAAUAAGGAAUGGGCAGGGUCCUAGAUAUGCACGGGAGAUCUGGGGCAAAGAGAGAUGCUGUGUUCUAUAAGAAGAAACGCGUAAGAGAAAAAGAACCGAGAGGAAGGAAAGGAGAUAGAGAGAUUAGAUCUCAGAAUUCGAUACGGUUUUUCUAUUUUUGGAGGGAGAGAGAGAGAAGCCUGGCAGAGCAGUAACAGUGCAGCGUUGGUGCCGUUUAGUAUUUGAUUUACAGUUGAAUUAUAGCAGGCAUUAGCAGUCAUCAUCAUGAAUUUCAUCCAAUAAAAAGAAGAUAAUCAAUAAGAAUAUUGACUUUUGGGUAAUGGAAGCCCAUGUUUUCGUUCCAGCAAAUUAAAUUAAAGUAAAGUGUCG
rnacentral:misc_RNA from 1 species